rnacentral:lncRNA from 1 species
AUUGUGCCUGCCUCACCUCCCCACUCUCCCCGGCUAAUUACCAGGUUUGCCCUUCACAGUUUCUGCGGUAAUGCUAAGGCCCGCGCCCCUCAGCUGCCAGCGCUGCGUGUUUUAGUAGCUGCAGGGAGGAAGAAUCGAGAUGGCUUCAGCAAAGCCCUCCACUUUGCUUGGGAGAAGGGGGCGUUUGUGGGCAGGGCAUUGCAUGGGAAACUGCAAUGUGCACUUGUUUGACCUGGAUCCCUGGUUCAAAUGCAUCCCCUGGUCCCUGCAGGUCCGGGGUGGGGCUGGAGCUUUUGUGUGUCUCAUCAGCUCCCAGAAACAUUUAUCGAGUGCCUAUGGCAUGUCAGGCACAGUUCAAGUUCUGAGGAUACAGAGUAAACAACAGGCAACAUCACGCCUCCUCGAGCUUCUGUUCUACUGGGAGUCAGGGUAGGAAGAGACGACAACAAGGUUCAGACCUGCAUCCUGGCUCGAGGCUGUCUCCCCAUCUGCCACAGGUGCUUCCCCCAACGGAUCUCUUGCCCCUCUCCUCCUGGCUUGGGGUCUGCUCACUGGAGGACCUGGAUGGACAUGACAGGGCUCAGACAGGACUUGGGAGGAGCUGUGAGCUCGCCAUCAGGGCCAGCCUUGAAGGACGGGUGUGGGCGUGUCCCCCAUCAGGAUCCCGCUGUGGGUCUCCUUCCUGCUGUGGGGGCUGAUGAAAGAUGCAGGCCAGACACCUGCACAUCUUUACCCUGUGCUCAGCAGCACCCCCUGACAGGGCACCCUCCCCACUACAUCCCCAUUCCAUUCCAAAGGAAGAGACCCUGAGGGUCUGGAAUGAAGAACCCCUUACCCCAGGUCAAACUGAUGUUGCUGGAAUCUUUGGUUGGGUCUCGACAUUACCCCAUAUGGGCAACAGAGAAGGACUGCCGAGAGCUGGGCAAGGCCCCAUGCCUGCUCCUCCUGCUUGUGCUCUCUAGAUCAGAGACCCUCCCAACCUCUCCCGUAGGGGCCUGACUCCUCCCUGGUAUGUCACCUUUGCUUGAUCUAGGCCUCUGGAGGGGCGGCAGCCUGUCUCCCCGCACCAGCUGGGGUUCUGGCCCUGGUGGUUGCUCACCACACCUCCGGGGGCUGCCACGCGGGGUCAUGUUGGUACCAAGGUUCUCUGUGGGGUGCAGGGAUGACCACUGGAGAAAAGGCCAGCCCUGCCUUCCGCUGCUGCCUCAGGCUGGUCCCCGUGCCUCGCUCAGGCGGGCCAGUGACCCUCCUCACCAGCCAUGGCUUCUCUUGUGACAGGCCCAACGGCAGGCCAGGUCCUGAACCCCGCAGGGAGGCCGGCCUAUCAGGUCUUCACAUGGCUGGGGGCACAGCCAGCCACCAGCAUCCUUGUGCUGUCCCCAUGGGGAAGAGAAGGGAACGAUGUGUUCAUAGACGCCAGGGCAAGUGGGCACGGGCAGCGCACGGAGGAAAAAGUGACUCCAAUCAGAAGGGGAGUGGGUCUUGGCAAUACACGUCUGGGUGGUCAGUCCCCAGAGGUGGGCACUGGGCUGAGCUCUCUCUCAUCCGACGCCACCCCUGGGUGACCUCCGUUACAUUUCCUAACCUCUUUGUGUGCCAAUCGCCUCGUCUGGAAAAAUGGGAAUGGAGGAGAGUUGUACCUACCCAGGGUGGUUCUGUGGGCAUUUAAAGAGCAACUUCAUGUGAGACGUGGAGUCCAUGUGUGGCCCAUGGUGGGCUCCAGGAAAUGUUGGUGAUGACAGGGAUGAGGGAGCAACUGAGAGCCGGCAGUGAGGUGACACACCCAAGGUCACGCCACCAGCAGAGGUAGCUGGUCACGCUGCUGAGAGCCGGCAGGAAAUAGAUGCGGACAAAGCAGGGUCGGUUUUCAGCUUCUCUCCACGGAAAGGCCGGCUGAAGUUUCCCUCACCACGCAGAAAUCGAUAAGCAGGAGGUUUUUAAAAACCACCUCCCCAUUGAACCUGCCACUGCCGGAGCUGAAGGCUGUGCGUUUUGUGGUCCGCUCUGCCCCAGGGCCACUUAGGGUGCGUCCACGCUGGGUGUGCCAGGCAUGCACGUGGGCUGCAGACGCCCAGGAGGCAGAGCCGAGCCUGCCAAGGUUAUGCGUGCACCUCUCAGCUCCCUGCUUAACACUGCGUUCCCGGGAGAGAGAUUUCUCCCUGGCUGCUUCACAUCCAGAGGAGAACAUCAGCUCUCAGCAGAACAUAAGGCAAGUGUGAAAACAACUUUUUAUCUUUUAAAAUUUUUGUUUAUAUUUAUGUAUUUAUUUUUUGAAAUGGAGUUUCGCUCCUGCUGCCCAGGCGGGAGUGCAAUGGCGCCAUCUCAGCUCACCACAACCUCUGCCUCUCAGGUUCAAGCAAUUCUCCUGCCUCAGCCUCCCGAGUAGCUGGGAUUACAGGCAUGCACCACCACACCCGGCUACUUUUGUAGCUUUAGUAGAGACAGGGUUUCUCCAUGUUGAGGCUGGUCUCGAACUCCUGGCCUCAGGUGAUCCGCCCGCCUCAGCCUCCCAAAGUGCUGGGAUUACAGGUGUGAGCCACUGCACCCGGUGAAAACAGCUUUUUAUGCCAACUGGGGCUCACUUCCAGGGGAGGCCUUUCCUGGAGGCCCCCAUUCACUGCAAUUCCUCAGCCUGGCUUGGAGUCAUACCAUCCCUCCUAUCAAGAAACAUUGCAUCUGCAGCGAUCCCCCAGAUAAGCAUCCGUCGUGGUUGGCAGGAGACUGAUCGUGGUCAUCUAUCCAGGACUGGGUUGACAGGAAGCCACCAUCUUAGACUGUCAGCUUCCAUUUCAGAGGGAAGGAGCCCUGUGGACGUUCUCACACCAGCAUUCAGAAGCUCUUGCUGGGAAGUGUCACAAGUCACCUGUGCUCCCUGGCUAGGAGUAGUCCGUUGGCCACCCAAACACCUGGGGGCUGGCCAGGAAGGCAGUCACACAGGGGCCCACCAUGGGUCUGCCCAGUUCUCAGGCACCAGACCACACCCAAGCAGGACCCCUCCUCCCCUGCUUCCCCCUCCUGUCCCCACCAAAGCCACAUGGCAGGCAGAUCACAUGUCACAGAGCUCAGGGCCAGGCCUGCCCAGAUCCUGAGGCUGGGCCACCCCUGAGAGCUUCCUAUGUGAGAUGUCCACUUUUUUACAUUUAAAUUUUACUUUUAAAAUUCUAAAUUGAUAAAUUACAGUUGUAUGUAUUUAUGGGUACAAAGUGAUGUGAUGACUGAUGAAUACAACGUAGAAAAUUAAAUCAAGUAAUUAACAUAUCCAUCCCCUCACAUACUCAUCACUUGUUGUGGUAAGGACAUUUGAAAUUUACUCUCCUGGUGAUUUUGGAAUGUACAAUACAUUAUUACUUACAUAUUUACCACACUGUGCAAUGUAUCUCAAAGAAAAGAAAACUUAUGGUGCACACCUGUAAUCCCAGCCUUACAGGAGGACAAGCGCAGGAGGAUCCUUUGAGCCCAGGAGAUUGAGACCAGCCCGCGCAACACAGCGAGACCCCAUUUCCUAAAAACAAAAACAAAACAUAUAUUGCUCCUGCCUAACUGAGACCCUGUGCCCUUUGACUGUCAUCUCCUCACUCCCCUCACCAGCUCUCCCACAGCCUCUGGCACCAUUCUGCUCUCUGCCUCUUUAAGUUUGAUUGUUUUCCAUCCCACAUACAAGUGAGAACCUGCGGUAUUUGUCUUUCUGUGCCUGGCUUAUUUCACUCAGCAUAAUGUCCUCCAAUUCCAUCUAUCUUGUCACAAAUGACAGAACUUCUUUCUUUUUUACAGCUGAAUAGUAUACCACUGUGUGUAUACACCAUACUUUAUCCAUUCAACCGUUGUUGGAUGAUUAGGUUGAUUCCGUAACUUUCGAAUAGUGCUGCAGUGAGCAUGGGCAUGCAGACCACAUGUCUGCUUUUGAUCUUUUGAACAAGGACUCAGACCCCAGUGACUCACACAUUUUCUUAUUAAAAAAAAAGUAUACGUAUAAAUUAUAUAUGUGUACAUAUAUGAUAUAUACAUAUGUUAUGUGACCAUAUCUAUACACACAUGUAUAUACACACAUACAGCAAGGGUCUCCAAAGACUUCAAACUAUAUGUAUGUAUAUAUAUAGAUAGAUGUGCACACCACUGCACCCGGCCAACUUUUGUGGUUUUUUUUUAGUACAGAGGGGGUUUCGCCAUGUUGGCCAGGCUGGCCUCGAACUCCUGACCUCAGGUGAUCUGCCCACCUCGGCCUCCCAAAGUGCUGGGAUUACAGGCAUGCACCACCACGCGCAGCCUAACUAUCUAUCUAUAUAUAUAUAUACGUAUAGAUAGAUGGACAGAUGUUCCUUGCAGCUUUCCUUUGGAGAUGGCUUACAGCUCUGGAGAGAACCCGGGGUCCCAGCACCUUUGCCAUUAUAACCCAUGAGACCUAAGGGUCAGCGAAGGGGCAAAGAGGUCCUGGAAACCAUCUUGCAUCAGUAUAGUCCCUCAUCAGAGGAAUAAAGUGGAGCCUCAGGAGGUAAAGGACGGCUGGUGUCACCAGCUAGAUCAGGGAUGUGUUGACUCCCAUUCCAUCGGAGGGAUCUGGGACCCUGCAAGUGACGCUGAGGCGUGGUCCUGCAGCAUUCCCGGGUCCCCCUGGAUUGCUGCACCGUGUCUCAGCCUGAACUGGACCACCUCUGCUCACACUGCAUGCAUGUUACUGCCUGUGACCGGAAGCACUCUAGUCGGGUUGCCCAUCCCCUCACAUACUCAUCAGCUUUAUUUCUUGCCACUUGCAAGAAAGUGAGAGCCCGAAGAGUAAUGCCCAGGCAGUAAGAGAGGCGAAGCAUCUGAUAGAGCCUUCUUCCCACUUUUAUCUAAUCCGAUCCAUUUUCAGUAGCUUUUCUGCAUAAGAGAGCCUCUUCACAUGGACAUCCAUGCAUCCACCCACGCGUCCACCCACGCGUCCACCCACGCGUCCACCCACGCGUCUACCCAUGCGUCCACCCAGUCGUUCAAAACACAUUUUCCUUUCCUUCUAGUUUACUGAGCACCUACUCUAUGUCAGGUGCUAUAUUCACCAGCUUACAGUAGAAUGAUGACCAAGUGAAGAUGUUGGCCCUAAGGAAAAUAAGUGGCUGCUCUUUGAUUCUUCCAGGGAGCAGAUUUUGAUUAGAGAAAGGAGUCCAAAUAGUACAAGGCAGGAAAGACGGGAGGGGCACAGAACAGUGAGGUUGAGGCUGCAGAGAGUGGGGAGGUGGUUGCUAAAAGACUCUUCACUUACAAUUCACGCAGCAAAACUGACCACCUGCCAAACUCCAUCCGGGGAGAGGUCUGGGUGCAGAGACCCCCAAAUAGCCUAGGCAGACAGGUGUGGGGCCACCCUCAGUGCAAGGCGAGGGCUUGUGGGGUCCUUCCAGAGGUUGCUGAAGGUGAUGAGCUGCCAUGAAAGAUGGUAACGUCUUUCCCGUAGGCACAAGAGGAGAAAACAGUGCGUGGUGCAUAGAGACCUUUGCAGUGCAGAAGGGGUUAUUAUUAUUACAAGCCAGAUGUGCCCCACUUGUUACUGAAUCAUCGGGUUGACUCUAAGUUUUAAAAUCCAAUUUCCAGGCCCUCUUCACCUGCCAGCUGGGCAACAGCAGUUACUCUCAUUGGAGACCCUUUCCCUUCGCCACUUCCCAGGCUACUCCAGACUGAAUGCAUUCAGGGAGUCACCUCCCAGGUCAAAACCUGCUGUGAUACCAUCACCCUGCAGCACAGACCACAGUCCCAAGCCUCCCAUUCUUGACUCUAACACCAGCCCAGCCUGACCUGCUGCAGGGUGUGGCCUGUGACCACAUCUGUGCUCCGUCCACGCUGCUUCGUCCAGCCUCCCACGCCGAUCCCCAGAGUAGCUCCCCGGGAUGCUCUCUCCUCAUCACUGCAUCUGCCGCCCGCCCAGGCCCUCUGACUUUACCCUCCCGCAGGCCCCUCCCGUCUGAGGUGCUCUGGAAUGCCUGUGGUGUGAUUGUGCAUGAACUUUUACGUGCCUGCGUCCAUGCUCGAGAGCGGUCUUGCCUGAACCACCUUGUCUCAAUAAUCAGCAUGAAACUCCUCAAAAGAAACAGAGAGGCCCCUCAGAACAUCACGGAAAAGACGAUGGCUCCAAAACAGCUAGAUUCUAAUCCCAGCUCUGCUGCGGGGCGCGGCCUCGGGCACACCUGUGCUCCGUGCAUGUGACGUGACUCUCAAAAGCAUCCAUUUCCUCAUCUGGAAAACGGGACAGUUCCUGGACUCUGCGCACCUGGAAGUGACCAUGAGGGUCAAAUGUUUCUCAAACUGCAAAUGCUUUUCAGAUGCUGGCGCCGUGACCAAAGACCUGGCUCUUACAUCUGCUCUGUUUUCAUGGGACACAGCCCUGGGUAUACAGUAGGUGCUUAAUGCAGGUGACCGUGAGGAAGGGCUGUGGCCCGUGGAGGGCAGGCAGGUGGGAUUCAGCUGAGGUCCUCAAAGGCUGCACUAUGGGAAAGGCUGAGCGGCAGGAAAGGGACAGACAGGCCCUCCUCCUGGGGCCCAGGGCUGGGAACCAGAGCCCCUCCUUUGGCCACUCUGAGGUGGAAGAACAAGGAGCACAUAGGAGGAGUGGCCCAGGCUCUCCACCUGAGGACAUUCGGAGGACCUAGAAGCACUGGCAGAGCCUGAACGUGGCACCGUAGCCUCCUGCUGGCUGGAGAUGUGUCUGGGCGGUGUGUCUUGGCAUGGAAUCCACAGCCAGCUAGCCUGAGGCGGGGAUGGGGCCAGGACCCCCGGCUGUACAGACGGAGAGCCAGAGGCGGUUGCAGGUUCCCAACCGACAGCGGAGCUGAUGAGUGGCGGGGCUUUCAUUUGUUGACAGGAGAUGCAUGUCUGAGGCCAGAGCCAACUUCUUCCAGGGAGCGGCUUCCUUCCUCCUCAAAGGACACAGGGGACACAGAUGUCCAGGAGGCUGUUUAGAGAGGGCCCGAGUGGUGAGCUGUGCAGGGGUCCUCACGCCCCGGCCCCGUCUUGGAUAUGGGGCUGGAGACUUAGGAAGUGAGUGCUGGGUCCUGGGGUUCCCUCAUCCGCCUUCAGGAAGAUGUGAAGGGGCUUCCUGCGGCCUUUGGCAGCAUUCAUCCCAAACCCCAAAGCCUCCUUCCCCUGGCUCCGUGGCAGGAGCAGUUGCAUUCUCCUGUCUGAGAGGGGCCACCUCCUUCCCACCUUGCCCUCUAAGUUGGCUCAGGCUGCGCAGGGCUCAGGCUGAGGUCCAGACCCUCAUGCCAGCUUGGUGCUUGGCCAGAGCUGCAAAAUUGGAGCUGGGCUGCCAGGGGGAGGGCACCGCUGAGGCCUUCUAGGCCCAGACGGGCUGAGAGAGCCCCCGCCCCCCACCCCAGCCUCACCCUCCACCCGAGGCCCCUGUCAUGGGUGUGGGUGACUCAGAGGAAGUUCUGGUUUCUGUCAGAUUUUGAGGCUGAGGCAACCUGAUCCUGAAACAAUGACAAGCCUCAGAACGGUCCUUCCCACUCCCUCAGAGGAGCGUUUCAGGCCUGGCCAAUAACACAGCAGAACGGAAAAUGACUUUGGGAAGGAAAGGUCAGGCGGCUAGGCCUCCCAUGGAAGGCAGCAGGCGGUUGCUCAGGUCAGAGGGCCAAGUGGCGCGGUCUGUGGGCACCGGCAGCUGGCAGUGACCCUGCAGAUCAACCUGGGCCCGGGCUGCAGACACCAAGCAGGGGCACCUGCCUGGCCUGGCUGCCUCAUGUGGCCCCCACAGCCUUUGUCAGGACACCUCAGGACAGUGGCCUGGCCUCUAGGCCAGUGGGCCAGCUCGGGGUGCUAAAGCCUAAUUUGCCUGGAGCCCCGGGCCACUCAUAGAUUCAGGAGGAAGAGGUGGGGUAGAGGUGGCAGAGGGAGAGCAGAGCCUGGCACACAGCAUUUGGCACCAUAACUGAGGCAGCUGCUUUCCUUAAGGAGCUGCCACUGACAGGAUCAGCACUUACAGAGCCCCUGCUGUAUGCCAGGAAGUACAUUUAUUAUUGCUUCUUGUCACAUUGGCCCUGCCAGGUAUGUACCCCAAACAUUAGCCUCAUUUCACAGAUAAGAAAAUUGAGGCUUCCGUGAUUAAGCAGAGGCUGUGAUGUCCCAUCCAGAGCCCCAGCCACCCAGCUCUCCUGCAGGACAGGAGAUACCUACUAGCCUGCUUCUCGAUUAUUCUUUUCUUCCCUGCCACCUUGGGAAUAUCCCUCCCACUUGCAAGCACAGGUCGGCUAUGCCAGGGGAGUCUGUGCCCCAGGGCCCCUUCAUCCAUGGGGAUGGGAGUCUGUAGAAAUGCUCACCUCCGCCCUCUCCAGUGGGGACAUUGGAGGCCUGUGUCCCACAGUCUCCCUGAGGGCCCAGUGGGUUGAGCCCAUUGCCCGCAGUGGAAACCCCUCAUUCAUGGACCUGUCUCCCUCCCCUGCCUCCCCCUCCACCUCCACCCCUGCCCUGCCCUUCCUCGGAUCACUUCAUGCACCCAAGUCCUCAUUGCAGUCUGCUUGAGGGGGAUCCCACAUGUAGCCAUGCCCCUUCCAGGCAGAGAGAAGCAGCACAGGCCCCUGGCUGAGUGUGCCACGGCGGGUGCAGCAGGAGUGCAAACGCAGAGUUCAACUCGGCAUCCAGCUGGAACCCAUGUUAACUUGCGUUUGACCAGCGUAAGAGAGACAAGAAGAUGAGUAGAACUGUAGCAGUCAAAAUGCUUCAGCUGCAGGUAAUAGGAAGUCCAGCUCAAACCGGUUUAAGCGGAGGCCAGGGGCUGCAGGGUGGGCAUCUCCCAUGGCACCUGCUCUGGUCCCUCAGUCCCCCUGAGUGGUGCACACUUCCCUCCACAAGGUGUGUUGCCGGGUGGCCACGGCUGUCCUGGGCUCGCAUUUGCUCAUGACAGUGUCUGGAGAGCUCCGCCUUUGAGGGCUCUUCCUGGGGCCUCUAACGAGAGAGGACUGGGGGGACCACGACAAAAAAUAUCUGGGUUCUUGAGACAGCAGAAAAGGUGGUGGAAGCUGGGUGAGUAGCCAGACAGUAUCUACUAGAAUUUUUUUUUCUCCAAUUUAAGUUUCUCCCUGGUGAGUUCUUAACCCGCCGCUGACUGGCCAAUGCUAGCAGACGGACACAGGGAACAAACAAGUGGCAUAUUAAUCUUCAUGGAAAAGCCUAGAAACGGGCAGUCCUUUCACAGCAGUUCUGUGUCUACAGUGAACACAUGGGCUGUGUUUAACUGUGUAAACACAAUAAAGUUGUGUUAUGGAAGUGAACUUGUUCCUGACUGGCAGAUGGAUUUAAAUGUAAGAGUGGUCCAUGGGCCCCUCCACGGAGCUGAUGCUGCCCCAGCAUCCUUCCUAUGGCCCUUCAGCCUCUGGCUAUUGGUCUUCCUGUAUCCAUGCACGGCUGAGCUGGAGGCCAACACAGGAGCAGCCAUUCCAGGCAGGUCUGGGCAGGGGUCCCUGGCGUGUAGCUCUGGAGGGAGUGGGGCUGUGUAAGCUCAGCGUCUUGUCUCCCUCACUGAAAAUACAGGACACAAUGGAACAGAAUAGAGAGCCCAGAAAUAAGGCUGAACACCUACAACCAUCUGAUCUUCAACAAAGCUGACAAAAACAAGCAAUGGGGAAAGGACUUCCUUUCAAUAAAUGGUGCUGGGAUAGCUGGCUAGCCAUAUGCAGAAAAUUGAAACUGGACCCCUACCUUACACCAUAUACAAAAAUCAACUCUAGAUGAAGUAAAGACUUAAAGGGAAAAUCUAAAACUAUAAACACCCUGGAAGACACCUUAGUAAAUACCAUUCUGGACAUAGAACUUGGAAAUAUUUCAUGAUAAAGAUGCCAAAGCAAUUGCAACAAAAACAAAAAUUGACAAAUGGAAUCUAAUAAAACUAAAGCACUUCUGCACAGCAAAUCAACAGAAUAAACAGACAACCUAAGAGUAGGAGAAGAUAUUUGCAAACUAUGCAUCUGACAAAGAUCUAAUAUCCAGCAUCUAUAAGGAACUUAAACAAAUGUACAAGCAAAAAACAACCCCAUUCAGAAGUGGGCAAAAGACAUAAACAGACACUUCUCAAAAGAAGACAUACAUGCGGCCAAAAAGCAUAUGAAAAAAUGCUGAAUAUCACUAAGCAUUAGAGAAAUGCAAAUCAAAACCACAAUGAGAUACCAUUGCACACCAAUCAAAAUGCCUAUUUUUUUUUUUU